GUCUGUGUCUGUGUCUGUGUCUGUGUGUGUAUGUUGCGGGUGGGGGGUACGUAAAUCGUUUUGUGUGGAUGGCCCCAGAGCAGCGUUACCCAGGUGCCAGGGGUGGGGCAGCCAGCCUUUGGAGGGAGGCCUAGUGUGAGCCGGGACGUCUUCACUGGCUCGUGUUUUCUCCAGUGAAUCUGACCAACUUUGUCCAUGCCUUUCAGGAUCACUUGCUGAGAGCAGAGAAGAGUGAGAGGACCAGUUAUCAGCAUAAAGCUGUCUGCUCUCGCUCCAGAAGGCACUUGUGUGUUCUGCUUACCGACAGGGUCAUGGUCAAGCCCCUGAUAUCUGGAGGUCGCAGGCCUGCUGGCUUUUGUGGCUGCUUGAAAUCCUCCUUUACUGCCUACUUUUUGGGAAGUACAAGUAGAGGGAGAGGAUGAAAGAGAAGCAGGAUCUGCACUGAGCAGGGAGCCAGAUGCAGGGCUGGAUCCCAGGACCCUGGACAGAUGCUGCACUGAGGGAGCCACCCAGACACCCUUUUAGACCUAGGAUGCAGAUGUGUGGAGGGCCAUGGAUGACUUGGAUGCAGUUGGGGUCAUCUCACGGCACAUGGAAUACACAAUUUAUCUUGCUUCCUGUCUUGAUAACGACAUCUUGGUUUUCAUGCUGUCUUAGAACAAGUAGAACUUGACUUACAUAGGUAGAGACUGAUGCAAAGGGAGAAGUUUGGUGGUUCUCCACUGGCCACAGCUAAGCUAGCAAAAAGCAAAAAGCAGAGCCUGCAUUGGAACCAGGCACUGUGGCUCCAGACUCCAACUCUUCACCCUUGGGCUUCUUGCAGCACGCCUGAUUUCUUGUCACUAAGAACUUGGUGCAGGAG